rnacentral:rRNA from 1 species
GUACGGAAGGCAGCAGUGAGGAAUCUUGCGCAAUGCGCGAAAGCGUGACGCAGCAACGCCGCGUGGGGGAAGACGGCCUUCGGGUUGUAAACCCCUUUCAGGAGGGACGAAGGUUCACCGGUGAAUAGCCGAGUGGAUUGACGGUACCUCCACAAGAAGCUCCGGCUAACUACGUGCCAGCAGCCGCGGUAAUACGUAGGGAGCAAGCGUUGUCCGGAAUCAUUGGGCGUAAAGCGCGCGUAGGUGGCCACAUAAGUCCGUUGUGAAAGUCAAAGGCUCAACCUUUGAAAGCCGAUGGAUACUGUGUGGCUAGAGUACGGAAGAGGCGAGUGGAAUUCCUGGUGUAGCGGUGGAAUGCGCAGAUAUCAGGAGGAACACCAAUAGCGAAGGCAGCUCGCUGGGACGUUACUGACACUGAGGCGCGAAAGCGUGGGGAGCGAACAGGAUUAGAUACCCCGGUAGU